rnacentral:rRNA from 1 species
UACGAAGGGGGCUAGCGUUGCUCGGAAUCACUGGGCGUAAAGCGCGCGUAGGCGGCUUCUUAAGUCAGGGGUGAAAUCCUGGAGCUCAACUCCAGAACUGCCUUUGAUACUGCGGAGCUUGAGUCCGGGAGAGGUGAGUGGAACUCCGAGUGUAGAGGUGAAAUUCGUAGAUAUUCGCAAGAACACCAGUGGCGAAGGCGGCUCACUGGCUCGGUACUGACGCUGAGGUGCGAAGGCGUGGGGAGCAAACAGG